rnacentral:tRNA from 1 species
GUGAUGGCUCAGUGGUUAAGAUCACUGGACUGCUCUUCCAGAGGUCCUGAGUUCAAUUCCCAGCAACCACA